rnacentral:rRNA from 1 species
GAACAACGCUGGCGGCGUGCCUAAUGCAUGCAAGUCGUACGGGAGCCGCUUUGGCGGUCGACCGUGGCGGACGGGUGAGUAACACGUGGGUAACCUGCCCCGGCGCGGGGGAUAACCGCGGGAAACCGUGGCUAAUACCCCAUGGGCUCGGUUGGGGGGUGGCCUGAUCGAGCAAAGGCGGAAGCCGUGCCGGGAGGGGCCUGCGGCCUAUCAGCUAGACGGUGGGGUAAUGGCCUACCGUGGCGAUGACGGGUAGCUGGUCUGAGAGGACGAUCAGCCACACGGGGACUGAGACACGGCCCCGACUCCUACGGGAGGCAGCAGCAAGGAAUUUUCCGCAAUGGGCGCAAGCCUGACGGAGCGACGCCGCGUGGAGGAUGACGCCCUUCGGGGUGUAAACUCCUUUUCGGGGGGACGAAGGCAGUGACGGUACCCCCGGAAGAAGCACCGGCUAACUAC